rnacentral:lncRNA from 1 species
GUGAAAACAUCGUCAACUCGUAACCGGGGAAUAUAAGUCCGCCUCCCAAGACUACUCAAUCCCUGCUCUAUGUCCUGCUGCUGACCUUAGCGAGACAAUGGGAGUGCGUCUCAUUUGAAUAGAAAGGCUUUACCUCUCUUGUUGGACGGGACUAAAAAGUCUUUUUCAAAAGAAAAGUCUUCCGACUGAACAAAGGGAGCAGGCUGGAUACUAAAAGAAUUCGAUACAGCGGGGGGGUUCCCCUAUUUGAUAAUACUUUUUUCAAAUGCUGACAUGACAGGGGAAAGAGGCGAAGUGGCUUUUGAUAAUUAGCGCUUUUUAUUCUGUGCUAGCGACCCUGUUUCUAAAGAACCUCGUAAGUCUCGAGGGUCUUUUAUUCAUCAUGGUUCCACUUUUUUUUUUCUUUCUUUUGUGAUUCUAAAGAACCUCGUAAGUCUCGAG